rnacentral:rRNA from 1 species
UCCGUAGGGUGAACCUGCGGAAGGAUCAUUACUGUGAUUUACUACUACACUGCGUGAGCGGAACGAAAACAACAACACCUAAAAUGUGGAAUAUAGCAUAUAGUCGACAAGAGAAAUCUACGAAAAAACAAACAAAACUUUCAACAACGGAUCUCUUGGUUCUCGCAUCGAUGAAGAGCGCAGCGAAAUGCGAUACCUAGUGUGAAUUGCAGCCAUCGUGAAUCAUCGAGUUAAUGAACGCACAUUGCACCCCUCGGCAUUCCGGGGGGCAUGCCUGUUUGAGCGUCGUUUCCAUCUUGCGCGUGCGCAGAGUUGGGGGAGCGGAACGGACGACGUGUAAAGAGCGUCGGAGCUGCGACUCGCCUGAAANGGAGCGAAGCUGGCCGAGCGAACUAGACUUUUUUUCAGGGACGCUUGGCGGCCGAGAGCGAGUGUUGCGAGACAACAAAAAGCUCGACCUCAAAUCAGGUAGGAAUACC